CAGCCGCCGCGGGAAAACAGAGGGUGCGAGCGUUAAUCGGAUUUACUGGGCGUAAAGCGUGCGUAGGCGGCUUCUUAAGUCGGAUGUGAAAUCCCUGAGCUUAACUUAGGAAUUGCAUUCGAUACUGGGAAGCUAGAGUAUGGGAGAGGAUGGUAGAAUUCCAGGUGUGGCGGUGAAAUGCGUAGAGAUCUGGAGGAAUACCGAUGGCGAAGGCAGCCAUCUGGCCUAAUACUGACGCUGAGGUACGAAAGCAUGGGGAGCAAACAGGAUUAGAUACCCCAGUAGUCCCUGUCUCUUAUAC
rnacentral:rRNA from 1 species